rnacentral:rRNA from 1 species
GCGACGCCGCGUGGGGGAUGAAGGCCUUCGGGUUGUAAACCCCUUUCACCAGGAGCGAAUCCAGACGGUACCUGGGGAAGAAGCGCCGGCUAACUACGUGCCAGCAGCCGCGGUAAUACGUAGGGCGCGAGCGUUGUCCGGAAUUAUUGGGCGUAAAGAGCUCGUAGGCGGCCUGUCGCGUCCGCUGUGAAAUCCUGGGGCUUAACCCCGGGCCUGCAGUGGAUACGGGCUGGCUAGAGGCAGGCAGGGGAGAACGGAAUUCCCGGUGUAGCGGUGAAAUGCGCAGAUAUCGGGAGGAACACCGGUGGCGAAGGCGGUUCUCUGGGCCUGUUCUGACGCUGAGGAGCGAAAGCGUGGGGAGCAAACAGGAUUAGAUACCCUGGUAGUCCACGCCGUAAACGUUGGGCGCUAGGUGUGGGGCCCUUCCACGGGCUCUGUGCCGCAGCUAACGCAUUAAGCGCCCCGCCUGGGGAGUACGGCCGCAAGGCUAAAACUCAAAAGAAUUGACGGGGGGCCCGCACAAGCGGCGGAGCAUGUUGCUUAAUUCGAACGCAACGCGAANACCUUACCAANGUUUGACGUGGCCGGAAAGAGCCGCNNAGAUGCGGUGUCCUUCGGGGUCGNUCACAGGUGGUGCAUG